rnacentral:tRNA from 1 species
UCCGACCUGGUGUAAUAGCACAGAAAAUUUUGGUUUUUCAGGAGGUAAGCCGACGG